CCUACGGGGGGCAGCAGUGAGGAAUAUUGGUCAAUGGGCGUAAGCCUGAACCAGCCAAGUCGCGUGCGGGAUGAAGGUUCUAUGGAUCGUAAACCUCUUUUAUAAGGGGAUAAAGUGUGGGACGUGUCCUGUUUUGUAUGUACCUUAUGAAUAAGGAUCGGCUAACUCCGUGCCAGCAGCCGCGGUAAUACGGAGGAUCCGAGCGUUAUCCGGAUUUAUUGGGUUUAAAGGGUGCGUAGGCGGUCUUAUAAGUCAGCGGUGAAAGACUGUUGCUCAACAAUGGAAUUGCCGUUGAAACUGGAGGGCUUGAGAUUGUAUGCGGCAGGCGGAAUGCGUGGUGUAGCGGUGAAAUGCUUAGAUAUUACGCAGAACCCCGAUUGCGAAGGCAGCCUGCCAAGCCAUGACUGACGCUGAUGCACGAAAGCGUGGGGAUCAAACAGGAUUAGAUACCCGGGUAGUC
rnacentral:rRNA from 1 species